rnacentral:lncRNA from 1 species
GUCCUAGGAUGGGUGACCCCUGGGAAGUCGCGGCGUCACAGAUGGUAUCAGAGCCAAUUACCAGCCGGAAGUGUGAGAUGAGUCUCGGCUGAGUCAGGGUCUGGAUGACGGGCUAGCGAGACGAGUCUCACAUCGCCUGGUACUUGUGAGUCUGAGCCUGACGAGGACGUCAGGGCUUAAAGGAGGGGAGAUUGUGAGACCCCAGAUAGUCCUAUAUAUAAGAUAUAAUAGGGCUAAACUCUUAACCCGGCUUAAGCAUUUUGGGUGGUGGCUAGACCCAUGAGGUUAAGAGAGUUAAGCGUGCUAGGACGGGAGCAGUCCUAGGAUGGGUCGUUCCAAAUUCACACUCUCGGGGCAUAAUCGAACAAUAUAAUUAGGUUUUGCUCCUUAUUCGAUUUAAUGAGAAAAAGUACUUGUUGCAAAGUUAUACUGUUUGGGUGCAACUGAGUAUUGUAAUAUUGUUCAGGUUUUAGUUCUUGUGAACGUUGACAUCGAUUCGUUCCAAAUAUACACUCUCGGGGCAUAAUAAAAGAAUAUAAUUAGGUUUACUCUUUGUUCGAUUUAAUGACAAAAAAUACUCGUUGCAAAGUUAAACUGUUAGGGCGCAACUGAGUAGUCUAACGUUGUUCUGGUUUUGGUUCUUGUGAACGUCGACAUCGAUUCGUUCCCAAUUUACACUCUCGGGGCAUAAUAAAAUAAUAUAAUUAGGUUAUACUAUUUGUUCGAUAGAAUGAGAAAAAGUACUCGUUGCAAAGUUAUACUGUUAGGACGCAAUUGAGUAGUCUAAUGUUGUUCCGGUUUUUGUUCUUGUGAACGUUGACAUCGAUUCAUUCCAAAUUUACACUCUCGGGGCAUAGUAGAACAAUAUAAUUAGCUUUUACUCUUUGUUCGAUAAAAUGAGAAAAAGUACCCCUUGCAAAGUUAUACUGUUAGGGCGCAACUCAGUAGUCUAAUGUUGUUCCGAUUUUUGUUCUUGUGAACAUUGACAUCGAUUCGUUCCAAAUUUACUCUUUCGGGGCAUAAUAGAACAAUAUAAUUAGGUUUAACUCUUUGUUCGAUAGAAUGAGAAAAAGUACUCGUUGCAAUGUUAUANNNNNNNNNNNNNNNNNNNNNNNNNGAUUUAAUGAGAAAAAGUACUCGUUGCAAAGUUAUACUGUUUAGGCGCAACUGAGUAUUGUAAUAUUGUUCCGGUUUUAGUUCUUGUGAACGUUGACAUCGAUUCGUUCCAAAUUUACACUAUCGGGGCAUAAUAGAGCAAUAUAAUUAGGUUUUACUCUUUGUUGGAUAGAAUGAGAAAAAGUACUCGUCGCAAGGUUAUACUGUUAGGGUGCAACUGAGUAGUCUAAUGUUGUUCCGGUUUUGGUUCUUGUAAAUGUUGACAUCGAUUCGUUCCAAAUUUAUACUCUCGGGGCAUAAUAGAACAAUAUAAAUAGGUUUUUCUCUUUUUUCGAUAGAAUGAGAAAAAAUACUCGUCGCAAAGUUAUACUGUUAGGGCGUAAUUGAGUAUUCUAAUGUUGUUCCGGUUUUGGUUCUUGCGAACGUUGACAACAAUUCAUUCCAAAUUUAUACUCUUGGGGCAUAAUAGAAUAAUAUAAUUAGGUUUUACUCUUUGUUCGAUAGAAUGAGAAAUCGUACUCGUCGCAAAGUUACACUGUUAGUUCGCAAUUGAGUAGUCUAAUGUUGUUCCGGUUUUUAUUCUUGUGAACGUUGACAUCGAUUCGUUCCAAAUAUACACUCUCUGGGCAUAAUAGGAGAAUAUAAUUAGGUUUUACGCUUUGUUCGAUAGAAAGAGAAAAAGUACUCGUUGCAAAGUUAUGCUGUUAGGGCGCAANNNNNNNNNNNNNNNNNNNNNNNNNCAUCGAUUCGUUCCAAAUUUAUACUCUCGGGGCAUAAUAGAACAAUAUAAAUAGGUUUUUCUCUUUUGUUCGAUAGAAUGAGAAAAAGUACUCGUCGCAAAGUUAUACUGUUAGGGCGUACCUGAGUAUUCUAGUGUUGUUCCGAUUUUUGUUCUUGUGAACGUUGACAUCGAUUCAUUCCAAAUUUACACUCUCGGGGCAUAAUAGAAUAAUAUAAUUAGGUUUUACUCUUUGUUCGAUCGAAUGAGAAAUAGUACUCGUCGCAAAGUUAUACUGUUAGUCCGCAAUUGAGUAGUCUAAUGUUGUUCCGGUUUUUGUUCUUGUGAAUGUUGACAUCAAUUCGUUCCAAAUUUACACUCUCUGGGCAUAAUAGAACAAUAUAAUUCGGUUUUACGCUUUGUUCGAUAGAAAGAGAAAAAGUACUCGUUGCAAAGUUAUACUGAUUGGGCGCAACUGAGUAUUGUAAUAUUGUUCCGGUUUUAGUUCUUGUGAACGUUGACAUCGAUUCGUUCCAAAUUUACACUCUCGGGGCAUAAUAAAAGAAUAUAAUUAGGUUUACUCUUUGUUCGAUUGAAUGACAAAAAGUACUCGUUGCAAAGUUGUACUGUUAGGGUGCAACUGAGUAGUCUAAUGUUGUUCCUGUUUUGGUUAAUGUGAACGUUGACAUCGAUUCGUUCCAAAUUUACACUCUCGGGGCAUAAUAGAGCAAUAUAAAUAGGUUUUUCUCUUUGUUCGAUAGAAUGAGAAAAAGUACUCGUUGCAAAGUUAUACUGCUUGGGCGCAACUGAGUAGUCUAAUGUUGUUCCGGUUUUGGUUCUUGUGAAUGUUGACAGCGACUUUCCAAAUUUACAGUCUCGGUGCAUAAUUGAACAAUAUAAUUAUGUUUUUCUCUUCGUUCGAUAGAAUGAGAAAAAGUACUCGUUGCAAAGUUAUAAUGCUAGGGCGCAACUGAGUAGUCUAAUGUUGUUCCGGUUUUGGUUCUUGUAAAUGUUGACAUCGAUUCGUUCCAAAUUUAUACUCUCGGGGCAUAAUAGAACAAUAUAAAUAGGUUUUUCUCUUUUGUUCGAUAGAAUGAGAAAAGUACUCGUCGCAAAGUUAUACUGUUAGGGCGUAAUUGUCACGCCCCAGACCGCACCACCCGAAAACGGUACCAAUUUGGUCCGAUUCGAGGGCGGCGUGCGCGACCGCCGAACGGACAGAGUCUCCCCUGUCCGCCCAAGGCUAAGCAUCGGAUUGUGUACAACAAGUCCCCAAGAAAACAACUUGCAUUCAUAC